GUGCCUACGGGAGGCAGCAGUGGGGAAUAUUGCACAAUGGGGGAAACCCUGAUGCAGCGACGCCGCGUGGGUGACGAAGUAUUUCGGUAUGUAAAGCCCUAUCAGCAGGGAAGAAGAUGACAGUACCUGACUAAGAAGCCCCGGCUAACUACGUGCCAGCAGCCGCGGUAAUACGUAGGGGGCAAGCGUUAUCCGGAUUUACAGGGUGUAAAGGGCGUGCAGCCGGAGAGACAAGUCAGAUGUGAAAUCCACGGGCUCAACCCGUGAACUGCAUUUGAAACUGUUUCCCUUGAGUGUCGGAGAGG
rnacentral:rRNA from 1 species